rnacentral:rRNA from 1 species
GGAGAAAGCAGGGGAUCGCAAGACCUUGCGCUUUUGGAGCGGCCGAUGCCUGAUUAGCUUGUUGGUGAGGUAAAAGCUCACCAAGGCUCCGAUCAGUAGCUGGUCUGAGAGGACGACCAGCCACACUGGGACUGAGACACGGCCCAGACUCCUACGGGAGGCAGCAGUGGGGAAUUUUGGACAAUGGGGGCAACCCUGAUCCAGCCAUGCCGCGUGAGUGAAGAAGGCCUUCGGGUUGUAAAGCUCUUUCAGCCGGAACGAAACGGUCACGGUUAAUACCCGUGACUACUGACGGUACCGGAAGAAGAAGCACCGGCUAGCUACGUGCCAGCAGCCGCGGUAAUACGUAGGGUGCGAGCGUUAAUCGGAAUUACUGGGCGUAAAGCGUGCGCAGGCGGUUUUGUAAGUCAGAUGUGAAAUCCCCGGGCUUAACCUGGGAACUGCGUUUGAAACUACAAAGCUAG